rnacentral:sRNA from 1 species
GUUUCAAUUCCUCAUAGGCAGGCUAUCGGCACUUAGGCUCAUCAGUUCCUAAAGUUAUAUCCUUCCAG